AGACCCGAAACCCGGUGAUCUAGCCAUGGGCAGGUUGAAGGUUGGGUAACACUAACUGGAGGACCGAACCGACUAAUGUUGAAAAAUUAGCGGAUGACCUGUGGCUGGGGGUGAAAGGCCAAUCAAACCGGGAGAUAGCUGGUUCUCCCCGAAAGCUAUUUAGGUAGCGCCUCGUGAAUUCAUCUCCGGGGGUAGAGCACUGUUUCGGCUAGGGGGCCAUCCCGGCUUACCAACCCGAUGCAAACUGCGAAUACCGGAGAAUGUUAUCACGGGAGACACACGGCGGGUGCUAACGUCCGUCGUGAAGAGGGAAACAACCCAGACCGCCAGCUAAGGUCCCAAAGUCAUGGUUAAGUGGGAAACGAUGUGGGAAGGCCCAGACAGCCAGGAUGUUGGCUUAGAAGCAGCCAUCAUUUAAAGAAAGCGUAAUAGCUCACUGGUCGAGUCGGCCUGCGCGGAAGAUGUAACGGGGCUAAACCAUGCACCGAAGCUGCGGCAGCGACACUCAGGUGUUGUUGGGUAGGGGAGCGUUCUGUAAGCCUGUGAAGGUGGCCUGUGAGGGUUGCUGGAGGUAUCAGAAGUGCGAAUGCUGACAUAAGUAACGAUAAAGCGGGUGAAAAGCCCGCUCGCCGGAAGACCAAGGGUUCCUGUCCAACGUUAAUCGGGGCAGGGUGAGUCGACCCCUAAGGCGAGGCCGAAAGGCGUAGUCGAUGGGAAACGGGUUAAUAUUCCCGUACUUGGUGUUACUGCGAAGGGGGGACGGAGAAGGCUAUGUUGGCCGGGCGACGGUUGUCCCGGUUUAAGCGUAUAGGUGUGUGUUCCAGGUAAAUCCGGUUCACUUUAACACUGAGGCGUGAUGACGAGGCGCUACGGUGCUGAAGCAACAAAUGCCCUGCUUCCAGGAAAAGCCUCUAAGCAUCAGGUAACAUCAAAUCGUACCCCAAACCGACACAGGUGGUCAGGUAGAGAAUACCAAGGCGCUUGAGAGAACUCGGGUGAAGGAACUAGGCAAAAUGGUGCCGUAACUUCGGGAGAAGGCACGCUGACAU
rnacentral:rRNA from 1 species